CUCCUUUGACGUUAGCGGCGGACGGGUGAGUAACACGUGGGUAACCUACCUAUAAGACUGGGAUAACUUCGGGAAACCGGAGCUAAUACCGGAUAAUAUUUCGAACCGCAUGGUUCGAUAGUGAAAGGUGGUUUUGCUAUCACUUAUAGAUGGACCCGCGCCGUAUUAGCUAGUUGGUAAGGUAACGGCUUACCAAGGCGACGAUACGUAGCCGACCUGAGAGGGUGAUCGGCCACACUGGAACUGAGACACGGUCCGGACUCCUACGGGAGGCAGCAGUA
rnacentral:rRNA from 1 species